CUGAGUUCAUGCCCUUACGGGUAGAUCUCCCACCCUUGAAUAUCUAAACCUUUGUUGCUUUGGCGGGCCGCUUCGGCUACCGGCUCCGGCUGGUGAGCUGCCCGCCAGAGAACCUUAAACUUGAAUUAUAGUGUCGUCUGAGUACUAUAAAAUAGUUA
rnacentral:misc_RNA from 1 species